GUUUUAAUAAUUUAAUGAAAAUAUUAAUCUUGUAAAUUAAACUUAAGCUAAGCUUUUAAAACA
rnacentral:tRNA from 1 species